UUUAUAAUUGUAGAUGUUAUUAAAUUGAUUCUGUCCUUUGAUUUAAUUUUUGUUCCAGUUUCCCAGCUAUGUAUGCGUUUGCAGAAUGUUAGUAGAGAAUAAUUAUCGUGGAAUAAGGUUGCCAAAUUCCAAGCCUUGAUGAACAUCACUCAUGGUUAUGGCAUCGUUCUUCACAGCUGGGUCAAUUUGUCAUCACUGUCAUCACUUAACUGAGGAGUUAACUGUCAUUAACUUUGGAAUGAACACAGAUGACAAUGCAUGAUGAGAGAAGUUUAUAAACAGAAGUUGGAAUUACAUUCUGAUGUCAAAUAUCCGUCACCAGCAAAGCCACGACAGAUUGAUGAGAGCAGCUUUUAUCUUUCAAAUAGGAUUUGUUUCCAAUACUUGCCUCUAUAAAUAUGGUUAUUAAGAUUUGAGAUCUGAUACAGAAAUAUAUAGUUUCUCCAAAAAUUGAGGAUCAAUUUUUAAAAGAAAUACCUAUAGCAAAAUAAAAAUCAUGUAUUGUAAGUAAAUGUAUAAGCCAUGAGAAGUCAGAUAAUCGCAAAUCUGUGCAACAAGAAGGAAAA